rnacentral:rRNA from 1 species
AACGAACGCUGGCGGCAUGCCUAACACAUGCAAGUCGAACGAGACCUUCGGGUCUAGUUGCGCACGGGUGCGUAACGCGUGGGAACCUGCCCUUAGGUUCGGAAUAACUCCCCGAAAGGGGUGCUAAUACCGGAUAAUGUCUUCGGUCCAUAGAUUUAUCGCCUUUGGAUGGGCCCGCGUUGGAUUAGCUAGUUGGUAGGGUAAAAGCCUACCAAGGCGACGAUCCAUAGCUGGUAUGAGAGGAUGAUCAGCCACACUGGGACUGAGACACGGACCAGACUACUACGGGAGGAAGCAGUGGGGAAUAUUGGAAAAUGGGAGAAAGCCUGAUCAAGCAAUGACGCGUGAGUGAUGAAGGGAUUAGGGUUGUAAAGCUCUUUUACCCGGGAUGAUAAUGACAGUACCGGGAGAAUAAGCUCCGGCUAACUCCGUG